AUACGUAAGGGGCGAGCGUUGUCCGGAAUGAUUGGGCGUAAAGGGCGCGUAGGCGGCGCGGUAAGUCUGGAGUGAAAGUCCUGCUUUCAAGGUGGGAAUUGCUUUGGAUACUGCCGCGCUUGAGUGCAGGAGAGGUUAUCGGAAUUCCCGGUGUAGCGGUGAAAUGCGUAGAGAUCGGGAGGAACACCAGUGGCGAAGGCGGGUAACUGGACUGCAACUGACGCUGAGGCGCGAAAGUGUGGGGAGCAAACAGGAUUAGAUACCCUGGUAGUCCACACUGUAAACGAUGAAUGCUAGGUGUAAGAGGUAUCGACCCCUUUUGUGCCGGAGUCAACACAAUAAGCAUUCCGCCUGGGGAGUACGGCCGCAAGGUUGAAACUUAAAGGAAUUGACGGGG
rnacentral:rRNA from 1 species